CGGAUCGCAGGCUGCAACCCGCCUGCGUGAAGUUGGAAUCGCUAGUAAUCGCGGAUCAGCAUGCCGCGGUGAAUACGUUCCCGGGCCUUGUACACACCGCCCGUCACACCAUGAGAGUCGGGAACACCCGAAGUCCGUAGCCUAACCGCAAGGGGGCGCGGCCGAAGGUGGGUUCGAUAAUUGGGUGAAGUCGUAACAAGGUAUC
rnacentral:rRNA from 1 species